rnacentral:lncRNA from 12 species
CGGCUGCUGAAAACUUCCCAGCGGAUCUGAAAAUGACAUCAUGCCCUCCUCGGUCCCCACUGUUGUCACUGUAAGCGCUGCCAGCAGGAGUGGGGACACGCCAGGGAUGGCUGGGAUCACACUUGGAGAGCAGCUCAGGCAGCCUCCCCUGGGGGUGGAUCACACCACACCCCGGAGAGGCGCGGAGGUGACCAAAUGAACUGACACCAGGCAAUUCUCACCGGAGCUCCAGAGACAAAGUAAUUGAAAAUAAAUGAAGGAACGUGACACCUGGCUGGCAGAUCAGUUAUCUAUAGCGUCCCUUUCCUGAAAUAACCACCUCCCCAACUCCACCCACCCUGCCAAAACCAAGGAGAUGCUCACCUAAAAUAGGCCA